rnacentral:rRNA from 1 species
CCUACGGGAGGCAGCAGUGGGGAAUAUUGGACAAUGGGGGCAACCCUGAUCCAGCAAUGCCGCGUGAGUGAUGAAGGCCUUAGGGUUGUAAAGCUCUUUUACCAGGGAUGAUAAUGACAGUACCUGGAGAAUAAGCUCCGGCUAACUCCGUGCCAGCAGCCGCGGUAAUACGGAGGGAGCUAGCGUUGUUCGGAAUUACUGGGCGUAAAGCGCACGUAGGCGGUUACUCAAGUCAGAGGUGAAAGCCCGGGGCUCAACCCCGGAACUGCCUUUGAAACUAGGUAACUAGAAUCCUGGAGAGGUGAGUGGAAUUCCGAGUGUAGAGGUGAAAUUCGUAGAUAUUCGGAAGAACACCAGUGGCGAAGGCGGCUCACUGGACAGGUAUUGACGCUGAGGUGCGAAAGCGUGGGGAGCAAACAGGAUUAGGAUACCCUGGUAGUCCACGCCGUAAACGAUGAUAACUAGCUGUCCGGGCACAUGGUGUUUGGGUGGCGCAGCUAACGCAUUAAGUUAUCCGCCUGGGGAGUACGGUCGCAAGNUUAAAACUCAAAGGAAUUGACGGCUGNGAGUGCGAGCGACGACGAGGAGAGG